rnacentral:rRNA from 8 species
GGUUAAGCGACUAAGCGUACACGGUGGAUGCCCUGGCAGUCAGAGGCGAUGAAGGACGUGCUAAUCUGCGAUAAGCGUCGGUAAGGUGAUAUGAACCGUUAUAACCGGCGAUUUCCGAAUGGGGAAACCCAGUGUGUUUCGACACACUAUCAUUAACUGAAUCCAUAGGUUAAUGAGGCGAACCGGGGGAACUGAAACAUCUAAGUACCCCGAGGAAAAGAAAUCAACCGAGAUUCCCCCAGUAGCGGCGAGCGAACGGGGAGCAGCCCAGAGCCUGAAUCAGUGUGUGUGUUAGUGGAAGCGUCUGGAAAGGCGCGCGAUACAGGGUGACAGCCCCGUACACAAAAAUGCACAUGCUGUGAGCUCGAUGAGUAGGGCGGGACACGUGGUAUCCUGUCUGAAUAUGGGGGGACCAUCCUCCAAGGCUAAAUACUCCUGACUGACCGAUAGUGAACCAGUACCGUGAGGGAAAGGCGAAAAGAACCCCGGCGAGGGGAGUGAAAAAGAACCUGAAACCGUGUACGUACAAGCAGUGGGAGCACGCUUAGGCGUGUGACUGCGUACCUUUUGUAUAAUGGGUCAGCGACUUAUAUUCUGUAGCAAGGUUAACCGAAUAGGGGAGCCGAAGGGAAACCGAGUCUUAACUGGGCGUUAAGUUGCAGGGUAUAGACCCGAAACCCGGUGAUCUAGCCAUGGGCAGGUUGAAGGUUGGGUAACACUAACUGGAGGACCGAACCGACUAAUGUUGAAAAAUUAGCGGAUGACUUGUGGCUGGGGGUGAAAGGCCAAUCAAACCGGGAGAUAGCUGGUUCUCCCCGAAAGCUAUUUAGGUAGCGCCUCGUGAAUUCAUCUCCGGGGGUAGAGCACUGUUUCGGCAAGGGGGUCAUCCCGACUUACCAACCCGAUGCAAACUGCGAAUACCGGAGAAUGUUAUCACGGGAGACACACGGCGGGUGCUAACGUCCGUCGUGAAGAGGGAAACAACCCAGACCGCCAGCUAAGGUCCCAAAGUCAUGGUUAAGUGGGAAACGAUGUGGGAAGGCCCAGACAGCCAGGAUGUUGGCUUAGAAGCAGCCAUCAUUUAAAGAAAGCGUAAUAGCUCACUGGUCGAGUCGGCCUGCGCGGAAGAUGUAACGGGGCUAAACCAUGCACCGAAGCUGCGGCAGCGACGCUUAUGCGUUGUUGGGUAGGGGAGCGUUCUGUAAGCCUGCGAAGGUGUGCUGUGAGGCAUGCUGGAGGUAUCAGAAGUGCGAAUGCUGACAUAAGUAACGAUAAAGCGGGUGAAAAGCCCGCUCGCCGGAAGACCAAGGGUUCCUGUCCAACGUUAAUCGGGGCAGGGUGAGUCGACCCCUAAGGCGAGGCCGAAAGGCGUAGUCGAUGGGAAACAGGUUAAUAUUCCUGUACUUGGUGUUACUGCGAAGGGGGGACGGAGAAGGCUAUGUUGGCCGGGCGACGGUUGUCCCGGUUUAAGCGUGUAGGCUGGUUUUCCAGGCAAAUCCGGAAAAUCAAGGCUGAGGCGUGAUGACGAGGCACUACGGUGCUGAAGCAACAAAUGCCCUGCUUCCAGGAAAAGCCUCUAAGCAUCAGGUAACAUCAAAUCGUACCCCAAACCGACACAGGUGGUCAGGUAGAGAAUACCAAGGCGCUUGAGAGAACUCGGGUGAAGGAACUAGGCAAAAUGGUGCCGUAACUUCGGGAGAAGGCACGCUGAUAUGUAGGUGAAGCGACUUGCUCGUGGAGCUGAAAUCAGUCGAAGAUACCAGCUGGCUGCAACUGUUUAUUAAAAACACAGCACUGUGCAAACACGAAAGUGGACGUAUACGGUGUGACGCCUGCCCGGUGCCGGAAGGUUAAUUGAUGGGGUUAGCGCAAGCGAAGCUCUUGAUCGAAGCCCCGGUAAACGGCGGCCGUAACUAUAACGGUCCUAAGGUAGCGAAAUUCCUUGUCGGGUAAGUUCCGACCUGCACGAAUGGCGUAAUGAUGGCCAGGCUGUCUCCACCCGAGACUCAGUGAAAUUGAACUCGCUGUGAAGAUGCAGUGUACCCGCGGCAAGACGGAAAGACCCCGUGAACCUUUACUAUAGCUUGACACUGAACAUUGAGCCUUGAUGUGUAGGAUAGGUGGGAGGCUUAGAAGUGUGGACGCCAGUCUGCAUGGAGCCGACCUUGAAAUACCACCCUUUAAUGUUUGAUGUUCUAACGUUGACCCGUAAUCCGGGUUGCGGACAGUGUCUGGUGGGUAGUUUGACUGGGGCGGUCUCCUCCUAAAGAGUAACGGAGGAGCACGAAGGUUGGCUAAUCCUGGUCGGACAUCAGGAGGUUAGUGCAAUGGCAUAAGCCAGCUUGACUGCGAGCGUGACGGCGCGAGCAGGUGCGAAAGCAGGUCAUAGUGAUCCGGUGGUUCUGAAUGGAAGGGCCAUCGCUCAACGGAUAAAAGGUACUCCGGGGAUAACAGGCUGAUACCGCCCAAGAGUUCAUAUCGACGGCGGUGUUUGGCACCUCGAUGUCGGCUCAUCACAUCCUGGGGCUGAAGUAGGUCCCAAGGGUAUGGCUGUUCGCCAUUUAAAGUGGUACGCGAGCUGGGUUUAGAACGUCGUGAGACAGUUCGGUCCCUAUCUGCCGUGGGCGCUGGAGAACUGAGGGGGGCUGCUCCUAGUACGAGAGGACCGGAGUGGACGCAUCACUGGUGUUCGGGUUGUCAUGCCAAUGGCACUGCCCGGUAGCUAAAUGCGGAAGAGAUAAGUGCUGAAAGCAUCUAAGCACGAAACUUGCCCCGAGAUGAGUUCUCCCUGACCCUUUAAGGGUCCUGAAGGAACGUUGAAGACGACGACGUUGAUAGGCCGGGUGUGUAAGCGCAGCGAUGCGUUGAGCUAACCGGUACUAAUGAACCGUGAGGCUUAACCUU